rnacentral:tRNA from 1 species
GUCUUCGUGGUGUAAUGGUCAGCACACUCGGCGCGUAUUCGAGAGGUCCGAGGUUCGAGUCCCGGCGAGAAGA